CAAUAUAAGUGAUGGCGACCGGCGCACGGGUGAGUAACACGUAUCCAACCUGCCGAUAACUCGGGGAUAGCCUUUCGAAAGAAAGAUUAAUACCCGAUGGUAUAAUAAAACCGCAUGGUUUAAUUAUUAAAGAAUUUCGGUUAUCGAUGGGGAUGCGUUCCAUUAGGCAGUUGGUGAGGUAACGGCUCACCAAACCUUCGAUGGAUAGGGGUUCUGAGAGGAAGGUCCCCCACAUUGGACUGAGACACGGCCAA
rnacentral:rRNA from 1 species